AGGGUUGCCAAUCUUUAAGAAUUGUCAACAGGGGUAAAUAAUCUGCUGAGUAGGAGUGAGUUCACAGUUAUUUUUUUAAUGCAGGCUGGAAUUCUAGUAUGACAUGAUUUAAAAUAUAUAUUGUAAGUGGAAGGUUAUUGAAUGUCAAUCUUGCCGCCAUUAUGAUCAGAAUUACAGUGAAUUAAUUGCUGAAAGGAAUGACUAGAGACUUGCUUAAACUGCCAUCUGGAGUAUAGUUUCAAUUUUACAGACAUUGUGUUGAAAAG